UACAGAGGUCUCGAGCGUUGUUCGGAUUCAUUGGGCGUAAAGGGUGCGUAGGUGGCGCUGUAAGUCGGGUGUGAAAUUUCGGAGCUUAACUCCGAAACUGCAUUCGAUACUGCGGUGCUUGAGGACUGGAGAGGAGACUGGAAUUCAUGGUGUAGCAGUGAAAAUGCGUAGAGAUCAUGAGGAAGACCAGUGGCGAAGGCGGGUCUCUGGACAGUUCCUGACACUGAGGCACGAAGGCCAGGGGAGCAAACGGG
rnacentral:rRNA from 1 species